GCCGGCCGCAUCCAGAGCAUCUGGUCCCGGCUCCAGGAGACCGGCCUGCUUGGAAAGUGUGAGCGGAUCCGGGGCAGGAAGGCGACGCUGGAGGAGAUCCAGACAGUGCACUCAGAGCACCAUGCACUGCUCUAUGGCACCAGCCCCCUCAACCGUCAGAAACUGGACAGCAAGAAGCUGCUGGGUCCCAUCACGCAGAAGACAUACGCAGUGCUGCCAUGCGGGGGAAUCGGGGUGGACAGUGACACGGUGUGGAAUGAGCUGCACUCAUCGAGCGCGGUGCGCACGGCCGUGGGCUGCCUGCUCGAGCUGGCCUUCAAGGUGGCUGCAGGCGAG